rnacentral:rRNA from 1 species
UACGUAGGGGGCUAGCGUUGUCCGGAUUUAUUGGGCGUAAAGAGCGUGUAGGCGGCCAGGUAGGUCUGCUGUGAAAACUCGAGGCUCAACCUCGAGAUGUCGGCGGAAACCAUCUGGCUAGAGUCCGGAAGAGGAGAGUGGAAUUCCUGGUGUAGCGGUGAAAUGCGCAGAUAUCAGGAAGAACACCAAUGGCGAAGGCAGCUCUCUGGGACGGUACUGACACUGAGACGCGAAAGCGUGGGGAGCGAACAGG